rnacentral:rRNA from 1 species
UACGAGGGGGGCAAGCGUUGUUCGGAAUUAUUGGGCGUAAAGCGCGCGCAGGUGGUUCCUUAAGUCUGAUGUGAAAGCCCACGGCUCAACCGUGGAGGGUCAUUGGAAACUGGGGAACUUGAGUGCAGAAGAGGAAAGUGGAAUUCCAAGUGUAGCGGUGAAAUGCGUAGAGAUUUGGAGGAACACCAGUGGCGAAGGCGACUUUCUGGUCUGUAGCUGACACUGAGGCGCGAAAGCGUGGGGAGCAAACAGG